GGCCUCCAGCUGAGAGCCCAGACUCCUGGGAGGAGGAGGGAAAGGGAGCUCCAGCUCCCACUACUAAACGUUACCCUCACUCCCGCUGCGCAGAUAAAGCACCACAAGGGGUUAGCGACUCCUUUAUUUAAGAGGUGAUUCAGGCAUAUUUAGAAAUGAGAGGUGCAACAGGAAAGAUUGCAUCACUCAGAUUUUAAAUCCUUGGUUACUGCAAAAGCAGCCCCAAACUUCGAUCCACAUUCUGUCCAAGUUGGAAUAAAGAGUCCCGCACUGGAGUGCGGUGGUGCCAUCCCUGCUCACUGCGAUUUCCACCUCCUGGAUUCAAGCUAUUCUCUUGCUUCAGCCUCCUGAGUAGCUAGGAUUACAGGCACAUGCCACCAUGCCUAGCUGAUUUUUUAUUUUUUUUUAUUUUUUUUUAUUUUUAGUAGAGAAAGGGUUUCACUAUGUUGGCCAGGCUGGUCUUGAACUCCCAAUCUCGUGAUCUGCCUGCCUCAGCCUCCCAAAGUGCUGGGAUUACAGGCGUGAGCCACCUUGCCUGGCCUCUUUUUGACUGAUGUCGUUUUAAAGAGAUGGAUAGCUGGGCAUUCCAAACCUGAGGAUAGGGAUUCAGAUUAAACCAAGUGCGUGGUUUGGUUUUUAAGCCACGCUGGAGGUCCUGUCACCUAAUGACCUAGCCUCUGCUCUCUGCAAAUAAGCCUCAUCUUUCUGAUUAAAUUAACAGGCAUAAGCUUUUCCUCCACUCCAUGGCCUGUCACCAUGGGUACACAUGGAAUGUGGAAUUGCUCUUCAGCUUCCAGUGGCUUUGGGGGGCCCAGCACCCUCUGGCGCCUCUGAGGUGCCAUACCCGGCCCUGCCUCCACUUACCUGCGUGACCUAAGGCAGGUUCGUUUCUGUGAACUUCUGAUUUCUUAUUUCUAAAGUUAAAUGAAUAGUAAUAAUAAUAAUAAUACCUACUGUAUUUGUUUCUAUGGCUGCCUAGCAAAUGACCCAAAACUUAGAAGUUUAAAACAACAAACACGUGCACCCUCACACAGUUUCUGCAGGGCAGGAACACGGAAGCAGCUUUGCUCCAGCCCAGGACCUCCAGGAGGCAGUGGUCAAGGGGCAGGCUGAGUCCAGAGUCAUUUGAAGGAGUAACUGGAGCUGAGGACCUGCUUACACGAUGGUGCAUUCACGGGACUGCAGACAGCGAGCUUCCGAUUCUCACCUCCCAGGCUUCUCCGCAGCUCACUCAAAUGUCCUCAUGGUGUGAAAACUGGCUUCCUUCCCCCAGAGUGAGUGAUCCCAGAGAGAGCAAGGGGUGAGGACACAGUAGCUUUUGUAGCAUAGCCUGGGCAGUGACAAUCCCUCACUUUUGUGUUCUCACAGCCACACAGACCAAACCUGGGGCUGUGGGACAGGCCCAUGCAAUGCUGCCGACCACGUCUCCCUUGAGGGGUGUUAGGGAGAUAAGUGUGUGUCCAUGUGAAGUAAGCAAAUGACACCAGGUAGAGGCUUAAGAAAAUAAACCAAAGUUAUCAUUAUUUAUCCCAUCAGUACAAAGUGUCCCAAUUCAAAAUGUGAGGCUGAGAAAGAACUGCUAGGUAACAUACAGAAGAGCCGAAUGAGGGCUGGGCACAGUCGUUCAUACCUGUAAUCCCAGCACUUUGGGAGGCCAAGGCGGGUGGAUCACCUGAGGUCAGGAGUUCGAGACCAGCCUAGCUAAUAUAGUGAAAUCCCAUCUCCACUAAAAAUACAAAAAUUAGCCAGGUGUGGUGGCGGGCACCUGUAAUUUUAAAGAUAGAGCCAACAGGAUUUCUGUGUUGUGAGAGAAAGAGGAGCCAAGGAUGUUCAGCCUAAGAAACUAGACCAACAGAAUCAAUAGC